CUUGCUGGCAUCUGGCAACCCUGUGCAGGAGGUGAGAAGACGACGAUAGCGCCAGCGGUUUCCAGAAGUUGAUGCUGGUGAAAAGUGGAUGACAGUGUCCUGCCUAAUCAAUCCGAUUUUUUUCCUGCACAAUAACUAUGUGUUACUGAUUUCGCGCACUUUUUGGUCCUUUUCGAUGCUGAUGUGAAGGAGUGGUGUCGUCGUGCCUGAUCAAUCCAGCUUUUCUUUAAAAUAACCGGUGACUGACAUUACCUCACAUCGGAAAAGAACAGCUCUUAAGGGAUUGCCAAUUUUUCUGCGUGAGAAGCCAGCAUGUUUACUCAAGAUGUGCCUGGUAAAUUACCAUUUCCAUUUCUAAAUCCUUUUUUAUACUAUAUUUUACAUGUAUUCAGGUUACUUACACAACAACGAUGAUGAUAAUAAUUAUUGUUAUAUGUAAAUGUACAUUUCCAUUAAUACCCCCCCCCCCCAAAAAAAUGAAAGUUCUUUCAUCUUUUACUCACCCCCAAAUUCACACAGGUUUAGAACAAUGUGGGGGUGAGUAAAUGAUAAAACAACUUUCAUUUUUGUGUGAACUAUCUCUUUAAGGCAAAGGUUGUAACAAGUGAAUGCUUAACAUUAAUGAAUGCAUUGAAAGAAAAUAGUAUUGUUUUUUUAGUCGUUUUUGUGGGAAUUAUCCCUUGAGGCUGGAGUUUCUCCUAGAGUUUUUUUUUUUUUUGGGUCGAAUUAAUUGUGUUUGAUUUCUAUGUAGACACUGGUACGUCCAAGGAUCUAGGUCAGUGGAUUACAGGCAUAUCAUUGCAAUUUUCAAUGUUGUUCUGACAAAAAAGUGCUGUGCAUUUAUAACAGCUGAGUAAUGUUUGUGGUUUACUCAGAUGCUUUCAAUUGUUUUGGGUUCUUGGACACAAUAGUAACUUGGUUUUGAGGAACUCUUAGGUUGAUGUUAAAUUAUGCAAUACAGUAGUUUUCACAUAAUUGUUCCUUUAAAAAUCAACCAAAAAUGUUAAAUACAUGUGAAAAUGUGCCUCAUGCCACAAGACAGCUAACGUAUUAUGGUGUACUUAACACUGUGGAUUUCUCUAACAUGCAUUUGUACCAUGCAUGGAGUUAAGUGUAAAAUGCAUAGAGUAAAGAAGUUAAAAUGCAAAGUCUGCCAUACAGACUUGGUA